rnacentral:misc_RNA from 1 species
UGUAGGAGUGAGCCUGCUCGCGAUAGCGAUGUGUCAGUGAGUGUUGAAGUUACUGACCCACCGCAAUCGCGAGCAGGCUCACUCCUACA